rnacentral:rRNA from 1 species
AGACCCGAAACCCGGUGAUCUAGCCAUGGGCAGGUUGAAGGUUGGGUAACACUAACUGGAGGACCGAACCGACUAAUGUUGAAAAAUUAGCGGAUGACCUGUGGCUGGGGGUGAAAGGCCAAUCAAACCGGGAGAUAGCUGGUUCUCCCCGAAAGCUAUUUAGGUAGCGCCUCGUGAAUUCAUCUCCGGGGGUAGAGCACUGUUUCGGCUAGGGGGCCAUCCCGGCUUACCAACCCGAUGCAAACUGCGAAUACCGGAGAAUGUUAUCACGGGAGACACACGGCGGGUGCUAACGUCCGUCGUGAAGAGGGAAACAACCCAGACCGCCAGCUAAGGUCCCAAAGUCAUGGUUAAGUGGGAAACGAUGUGGGAAGGCCCAGACAGCCAGGAUGUUGGCUUAGAAGCAGCCAUCAUUUAAAGAAAGCGUAAUAGCUCACUGGUCGAGUCGGCCUGCGCGGAAGAUGUAACGGGGCUAAACCAUGCACCGAAGCUGCGGCAGCGACACUCAGGUGUUGUUGGGUAGGGGAGCGUUCUGUAAGCCUGUGAAGGUGGCCUGUGAGGGUUGCUGGAGGUAUCAGAAGUGCGAAUGCUGACAUAAGUAACGAUAAAGCGGGUGAAAAGCCCGCUCGCCGGAAGACCAAGGGUUCCUGUCCAACGUUAAUCGGGGCAGGGUGAGUCGACCCCUAAGGCGAGGCCGAAAGGCGUAGUCGAUGGGAAACGGGUUAAUAUUCCCGUACUUGGUGUUACUGCGAAGGGGGGACGGAGAAGGCUAUGUUGGCCGGGUGACGGUUGUCCCGGUUUAAGCGUGUAGGUGUGUGUUCCAGGUAAAUCCGGUUCACUUUAACACUGAGGCGUGACGACGAGGCACUACGGUGCUGAAGCAACAAAUGCCCUGCUUCCAGGAAAAGCCUCUAAGCAUCAGGUAACAUCAAAUCGUACCCCAAACCGACACAGGUGGUCAGGUAGAGAAUACCAAGGCGCUUGAGAGAACUCGGGUGAAGGAACUAGGCAAAAUGGUGCCGUAACUUCGGGAGAAGGCACGCUGACACGUAGGUGAAGUGAUUUACUCAUGGAGCUGAAGUCAGUCGAAGAUACCAGCUGGCUGCAACUGUUUAUUAAAAACACAGCACUGUGCAAACACGAAAGUGGACGUAUACGGUGUGACGCCUGCCCGGUGCCGGAAGGUUAAUUGAUGGGGUCAGCGCAAGCGAAGCUCCUGAUCGAAGCCCCGGUAAACGGCGGCCGUAACUAUAACGGUCCUAAGGUAGCGAAAUUCCUUGUCGGGUAAGUUCCGACCUGCACGAAUGGCGUAAUGAUGGCCAGGCUGUCUCCACCCGAGACUCAGUGAAAUUGAACUCGCUGUGAAGAUGCAGUGUACCCGCGGCAAGACGGAAAGACCCCGUGAACCUUUACUAUAGCUUGACACUGAACAUUGAGCCUUGAUGUGUAGGAUAGGUGGGAGGCUUUGAAGUGUGGACGCCAGUCUGCAUGGAGCCGACCUUGAAAUACCACCCUUUAAUGUUUGAUGUUCUAACGUGGACCCGUAAUCCGGGUUGCGGACAGUGUCUGGUGGGUAGUUUGACUGGGGCGGUCUCCUCCUAAAGAGUAACGGAGGAGCACGAAGGUUGGCUAAUCCUGGUCGGACAUCAGGAGGUUAGUGCAAUGGCAUAAGCCAGCUUGACUGCGAGCGUGACGGCGCGAGCAGGUGCGAAAGCAGGUCAUAGUGAUCCGGUGGUUCUGAAUGGAAGGGCCAUCGCUCAACGGAUAAAAGGUACUCCGGGGAUAACAGGCUGAUACCGCCCAAGAGUUCAUAUCGACGGCGGUGUUUGGCACCUCGAUGUCGGCUCAUCACAUCCUGGGGCUGAAGUAGGUCCCAAGGGUAUGGCUGUUCGCCAUUUAAAGUGGUACGCGAGCUGGGUUUAGAACGUCGUGAGACAGUUCGGUCCCUAUCUGCCGUGGGCGCUGGAGAACUGAGGGGGGCUGCUCCUAGUACGAGAGGACCGGAGUGGACGCAUCACUGGUGUUCGGGUUGUCAUGCCAAUGGCACUGCCCGGUAGCUAAAUGCGGAAGAGAUAAGUGCUGAAAGCAUCUAAGCACGAAACUUGCCCCGA